GACGGAGGGGGCAAGCGUUGUUCGGAUUGACUGGGCGUAAAGGGUGCGUAGGCGGUUGAGUAAGUCUGGCGUAAAAUCUUCUCCGCUCAACGGGAAGACGCCGCUGGAAACUGCUCGGCUGGAGUUCGGGAGAGGUGAGUGGAAUUCCUGGUGUAGCGGUGGAAUGCGUAGAGAUCAGGAAGAACACCGGUGGCGAAGGCGGCUCACUGGCCCGAUACUGACGCUGAGGCACGAAAGCUAGGGGAGCAAACGGG
rnacentral:rRNA from 1 species